rnacentral:rRNA from 1 species
UACGUAGGUGGCAAGCGUUAUCCGGAAUUACUGGGUGUAAAGGGUGUGUAGGCGGGAAUGCAAGUCAGACGUGAAAACUUAAGGCUCAACCUUAAGCCUGCGUUUGAAACUGUGUUUCUUGAGAGUGGGAGAGGUAAACGGAAUUCCUGGUGUAGUAGUGAAAUGCGUAGAUAUCAGGAGGAACACCGGUGGCGAAGGCGGUUUACUGGACCACAACUGACGCUGAGACACGAAAGCGUGGGGAGCAAACA